rnacentral:rRNA from 1 species
CGCUAUCACUCCUACGGGAGGCAGCAGUGGGGAAUCUUGGACAAUGGGCGCAAGCCUGAUCCAGCCAUGCCGCGUGAGUGAUGAAGGCCCUAGGGUCGUAAAGCUCUUUCGCCAGGGAUGAUAAUGACAGUACCUGGUAAAGAAACCCCGGCUAACUCCGUGCCAGCAGCCGCGGUAAUACGGAGGGGGUUAGCGUUGUUCGGAAUUACUGGGCGUAAAGCGCGCGUAGGCGGACUGGAAAGUUGGGGGGUGAAAUCCCGGGGCUCAACCCCGGAACUGCCUCCAAAAACUCCCAGUCUUGAGUUCGAGAGAGGUGAGUGGAAUUCCGAGUGUAGAGGUGAAAAUUCGUAGAUAUUCGGAGGAACACCAGUGGCGAAGGCGGCUCACUGGCUCGAUACUGACGCUGAGGUGCGAAAGUGUGGGGAGCAAACAGGAUUAGAUACCCUGGUAG